UACGAAGGGUGCAAGCGUUACUCGGAAUUACUGGGCGUAAAGCGUGCGUAGGUGGUUCGUCAAGUCUGAUGUGAAAGCCCUGGGCUCAACCUGGGAAUGGCAUUGGAAACUGGCGACCUAGAGUGCGGUAGAGGGUAGUGGAAUUCCCGGUGUAGCAGUGAAAUGCGUAGAGAUCGGGAGGAACAUCCGUGGCGAAGGCGACUACCUGGACCAGCACUGACACUGAGGCACGAAAGCGUGGGGAGCAAACAGG
rnacentral:rRNA from 1 species